rnacentral:tRNA from 1 species
GGGGCUGUAGCGCAGCUGGGAGCGCGUCGCAAUCGCACUGCGAAGGUCAGGGGUUCGAAUCCCCUCAGCUCCA